CAGUCGCGCGGGAAAACAGAGGGUGCGAGCGUUAAUCGGAUUUACUGGGCGUAAAGCGUGCGUAGGCGGCUUCUUAAGUCGGAUGUGAAAUCCCUGAGCUUAACUUAGGAAUUGCAUUCGAUACUGGGAAGCUAGAGUAUGGGAGAGGAUGGUAGAAUUCCAGGUGUAGCGGUGAAAUGCGUAGAGAUCUGGAGGAAUACCGAUGGCGAAGGCAGCCAUCUGGCCUAAUACUGACGCUGAGGUACGAAAGCAUGGGGAGCAAACAGGAUUAGAUACCCCAGUAGUCCCUGUCUCUUAUACA
rnacentral:rRNA from 1 species